rnacentral:tRNA from 1 species
GGACCAGUAGCUCAGCUGGAUAGAGCACCUGCCUUCUAAGCAGGCGGUCAUAGGUUCGAAUCCUAUCUGGUUCA